rnacentral:lncRNA from 1 species
CAAGUUCACUUCACUCGUUUUAUUAUUUAUUUUUGAUUAAUUUUAAAUAGAGUUAUUGGGAGAGAUGCUCUUCAGUUGAAGGAGAAAUUGGCUAAGAAUGGGAUCAUGGUGAGACAUUAUUCAAGUCCUGAAAGCAUCUCUGGUUGCAUUCGCAUCUCUGUUGGGCGCCCUGAGCAAACUGAUGCGAUAGUUGCUGUAUUGUCUGCGAUUUAGAUUGACAUCCAAAUCCAAUUAUGAAACCUGUAAUUCCACGUCUAAUCGAGUUACUGUAUGUGGUACUGUACGCGUGUACGCCCACCUCGUGAAAAAGUCCGACGAACACGUACAACGUACUGAAGCACUGAUCUCUUCUCAGGUAGAAAAAUAUAUUUCUAAGAUCGUGCGCUAAGUUCAUAAAAUAUCUUAGAAAGUUGCCUUGAUAUAUACCUGGACUUGCUUUUAGGCCCUAUACAUUCAUUACUCCUAAUUCAUACUUCCCUUCGAAGGUAUUCUAGCCCUCGUAUAUGAUACUUCUGGAAGUAUUAAUACAACCUGUAUAUUGUAGACAUAAUAGAUAGAUAGAUAGAUAGAUAGACACGUACCUUUAGAAGGUUCGGAAGCCCUUCCGGAAGACGAAGUUAUUUAUAUAUUUAACUACUGUGCCCUAACCCAAGACACUCGGAACCGUUCACUGCGCCAGCCUCAUCUUGCUUGCGGUAACUAUUUUUCUGCAGCCUUGUAUCAGUUCGGCCGGAGGGUUCCAAUUCGCUCGAUCUGUGUCACACCCGCCUUUGUCACUUUAAAAGUAGUACACGACAUUUCACAGUUAUCAGGAACAUCGUAUGUGAGGCUAGUAUACUGAUCUUGCGGCGGUGGAGUGGAAGUACAAGGUAAGACUCUGCUGGCAGCGGUGACGGCCAUCUGGGACUCUGCUGGGAGGCAACGGCACUGCACUCCUUUUAAAUAAACAUGCACUAUUUUACUUUUUGUAUUUCCUUCGCACCACUCAAAACCUGUUCACCCUUAAUCUGAUCUCUGCCCCGAUUCGCGGAACAGUCAACUGUAUGCACCUCGGUAUUAUUUAAAUUUAAGUUUCCUGCGGUGUUCCUUGGGUUCUGUCCCCGGGCCGUGACUUUUGGUGCAGAUGCCGCGCUUUGAAGCGCUGACUGGAUUGUGGCUUGCUUACGCGCGUGUUCUAGUGUCUUUAAAACACGAGUAGC